AUUGAACGCUGGCGGCAGGCCUAACACAUGCAAGUCGAGCGGAUGAAGGGAGCUUGCUCCUGGAUUCAGCGGCGGACGGGUGAGUAAUGCCUAGGAAUCUGCCUGGUAGUGGGGGAUAACGUCCGGAAACGGGCGCUAAUACCGCAUACGUCCUGAGGGAGAAAGUGGGGGAUCUUCGGACCUCACGCUAUCAGAUGAGCCUAGGUCGGAUUAGCUAGUUGGUGGGGUAAAGGCCUACCAAGGCGACGAUCCGUAACUGGUCUGAGAGGAUGAUCAGUCACCCGGAAACGGGGCAAGGGUCCAAACUCCUACGGGGGGCAGCGGGGGGGAAUUUUGGACAAUGGGGGAAAGCCUGAUCCACCCCUCCCGGGGGUGGGAAGAAGGUCUUGGGAUUGUAAAGCACUUUAAGUGGGGGGGAAGGGCAGAAAGUUAAUACCUUGCUGUUUUGACGUUACCAACAAAAAAAGCACCGGCAAACUUCGU
rnacentral:rRNA from 1 species